ACUCCUACGGGAGCCAGCAGUGGGGAAUAUUGGACACUGGGCGCAAGCCUGAUCCAGCCAUGCCGCGUGAGUGAUGAAGGCCCUAGGGUUGUAAAGCUCUUUCACCGGUGAAGAUAAUGACGGUAACCGGAGAAGAAGCCCCGGCUAACUUCGUGCCAGCAGCCGCGGUAAUACGAAGGGGGCUAGCGUUGUUCGGAUUUACUGGGCGUAAAGCGCACGUAGGCGGACUAUUAAGUCAGGGGUGAAAUCCCGGGGCUCAACCCCGGAACUGCCUUUGAUACUGGUAGUCUUGAGUUCGAGAGAGGUGAGUGGAAUUCCGAGUGUAGAGGUGAAAUUCGUAGAUAUUCGGAGGAACACCAGUGGCGAAGGCGGCUCACUGGCUCGAUACUGACGCUGAGGUGCGAAAGCGUGGGGAGCAAACAGGAUUAGAAACCCCAGUAGUCCCAUG
rnacentral:rRNA from 1 species